AUAACAGCGGGGCAGGUGUGUCAAGGUGGGGAAGACUCCCUGCGGACCCAUCCUAAUUACACUAACCUCACGUUUCUGAUACUGCUGCUGUUCUUUCUGGCCUCUGUACUGAUGUUACAAGGACAUUUGGUCAGCUGGCAGCACUGGGAGACGGGACAUAGGUGCCUGGGUGCGUGUUGCACAGGUGUGCACAAUGGUCUUUGACAUGUUAUGCUGAAUAGAGGAAAAGUCCUGCCUCAGACUGGUCCUGGUCAAACAGCACAAUCAGGUGCAGCAUGAGAUAGUAUGGAAAAAGUAAAGGUACCCAUCAUGAAGAAGAGCCUAUUAUGCUAAAGACCUGUCCGUUGAUCUGUACGAUUGUUCAUCUUACAUUUUAAUGUAUCUCGGAAAAACAUCUGUUCUUACAGCUUAGCAGCCUGCUGUUCAACAGCCUACUGUGAACAGGGUGCAAGAAACAAAGGACUGCAUGUUGGAGGGAAUUCGUUGGGAAGUUUGGGGGAUCGUCUUUAUUCAAACUCUUCAAAGUCAAGGUUGGAGAGAAAAGACGAAUUCUAAGAAUGUAGAUUCGAUCAGAGGGCUAAAAGAUGGCAGUAAACAGAAGAUAAAGAAUAUGCUUUAUCCUCCAGUGGGUACCUGGUAGAAGCUGCUCCAGAAAGUGCUGCCUGGCAGAACUUGUGUCAUAUCAGGAGUGAAAACCCCUGUAUACCAGGACGAAAUCCAAGAAUUACAAAGGGAAUUCAGAUGGGAAUUGAAAAUCAUUAAGGAGGAAAAAGGAUGCCGCACAGGGAGUUCAUCGUCUCCUAACAUAUGCAGAAUGAAGAAACUCUAGAAGGCAGACUUUGAAGAAUAUGAGGACAGGAAAUAAUAAUGGAUGAGGUAGUACAAAGAGAAACAGAAUCAAAAAUAAGGUUCAUACUAGUGUAAAAAGAAGUAGGCAGAAGAUGAAGUGCCAAGGAAGAUGAGAAGAAAAGCAAGUCUUGGCAUGCUGUAUGCACACAGACACAGAAACCAAGGAUGUGACACACAUAAAGAGAAUUCACAAGGCACCACAGAACAGAAUGCUUUACCAAAAGUGGAACAAACGGGGUAUAACCUGAGAUUCAUGACUCGAAAGACACUACCCAGUGCGUAUGGUGACAGAUGAAGGGACAGUCCUCUACUCAGAGUAUACCCAGAAAAGCUGGGGUUUCUUACUUGGCAGGACUUAAAACUGUGGGGCAUUGACCUGAGGUUAACGGAGAAAACCCCAUUGGUUAUCUUCUACAUUUGGUCAAACAACACUACCAGAUUCCCACUGAAUUAUACCAGAGCACCUUCACCAGGCUGGUGAAAAGAUGGCAAUGCUCAAAGAAAUGGAAACCUGGGUGAUCAUCAGAAUUCUUUCCUCCCUGAGAAGAAAUGAGAAGGUGUGACAGGAUAAUGAAGACAGAAAGUUCAAGGAUGAUGGAGGCUCUAACCGUUUGAAAUACCUGAUUAAUGGAAGACCCUAAUAACAUGAACAGGCACUUACUCAAACACCGCUUGCAGAAGUUUUCUGGAAUUGGGGCUAGCACAGUUGAUAAGAACUUCAAACUAAAGUUGCAGGGGAGGGGGGGAAGUGGAAAGGCAUUUGCCAAAGACUCAUGUAAUUGGCAUGCCUGAUUUUCAUGGAUAAAUUUACCAAGGUGGCUCAUGCCAGAUUAAGUCAAAGCUCUUUUCUAACGUGAGUGAGUUCUUACAUUGUUAAUGCAUUAAGUUUAAUCUCUGUUGAAGCUAGAGAAGUAUUUGGUAUGAUACUGUAUUAGAAAAUAUUACUGAAAACAGAUACAGAAGAGCUGGAUUAGCAUGCAAUAUUGCAAAAUAAAUCAGAACUUGGCUGAA